GAAGGGGCGGCAGCGAGAGGGACAGCUUCGGUGACAGGCCUGGGGCGGGACCAGAGGACGUUCCGGGACGGAUUGGUCAAAGUCGUGCGUCCGGGCGCACGGCACGUUGGGAAGCGAGCAGCUGGAUUGGCUGCUUGCCUCGCAGAGGGGGCGGGCCUUUUGUUCCCGGACGCGACGAUUGGUCUUUCCAAAUGCCGGAAGCGACGAGGGGAACGGUCGAAAGCCGGGAUCCAGCGUCCACGGAGCGGGGAAAUGAGGUAUCGGCGGCGCUGGGCCUCAGCCCGGCAGCCUCGGCCCCUGGUCCGAGUCCCCCCGCCCGCGCGGCUUGAGGAGACCAGGCGGCGCGCGCUGGUGCGGGCGGACCGCGGCCGUCGCGCCCCUGCCCUGUGGUUAAGUGGAGGCGCGCGCGGUGCUCCGCGUGCGGCGGGUGCGGGCAGCGCGGGAAGCAAGGACCGCGCCCGCCUCGCAGGGCCACCGGGAGGACUGCGCGAGGAGUGUGCGCGGCCCUUGGCCGGGGCUCGGCACGUAGGAAACUGGAAGCGGUGGUCCCUCCGCAGCGGCUGCCUUCCACGCUCCGAUUUCCCCGCUCCCAGCCAGUAACUUCCCUGGGUGAGCGGGGCGCCGUGGGCUGUCGAGCACCCUCGGGAUGAUGACCCAGGGUCCCGGUGGACACCUCAUUUAAUCUCUACACCCAACGUGGAGCUCGAACUCAUGACCCUGAGAUCAAGAAUUACAUGCUCUUCUGACUGAGCCAGCCAGGCACCCUCAAGUUCCCUUUGUAAGCGCAUAAAAUUCACAUAUCUUUGAUAAAGAAUAACCCUAAUGACAUUGGAAUUGCCAUGAUUGAGACCAGGGGUUCACCAACUGUGGUUCAGGGACCCCUGGAGGCCGCCCAAGAACUUUCCAGGGGUCAGCAAAAGUCUGGCAGUUUGGAGGGCAUGGCUGCAGGCUGUCAGCAAAGGCAGCUAUUCUCAAGAAGGCAAUCCAGAGCCCUGGGGUCUGGAAGAUUGAGUUGAAUAUCACCAGACUGGAAGGUGUACCAGUUAACAAGGGAAGGAGGGAGAGAGGAGUGGUCCCACUGAGUCUGGAGAGAGGGUGAAAGGCUGUGUGCCAAGAUAGAGAAACACCAGGCCUCAGCAGUUUGGAGCUAGCAGAUGGCCACUGGAGCUGUCCUGCAGGUCACGUAUGUCCCAGCCUGGUGGUGAGAAGCAGAAACCUUUGGAGAUGAGCUUGCUGGAGGGGACGUCCAGGCCCAGGCGGCAGAAGCCCGGAGGAUGUCAGUCACUCAGCACUUUCCUGGAGCAGGCAGCCUGGGAAUGCUCACCCCUCCCUGCUUCACCAGCCUGCUCAGAGACAGAGACUGCGCUUUGUGGAACAGAAGCUCAGUGAGGACAAGCAUCUGUCCACUGCUGUGUCCCUAGCGCCUAGGUCGUGGCCACAGAAACACACGCGGGAAUGAGCCAGCAGUCUCUGAGAACCGGGCGUUAGAAGGUCUCAGUGAACAAAGGCAAGGUUUUCCUUGGCGGGAGGCACACAAGGGAGGGACGUCUGGGAACACUGGCCUGUCGCUGUGUCUCUCCCUGUUACACUGCGGCUGUCCGAGUUCAGUGUGCCUCACGGCAACUUCUACGGAAGUAGGUCCGCCGUUGAUUUGCUGAAAAGCCAUGAUGGCCAUAGACCUCUAGGAUCUAGCAAGCUGGUGAACACUCGGUGCCUUAAUGGAAGGGCACAGAGACCUAGGACCGUCCUUGUUCAGGGGAAGAGCAUGCUCUGUCCAACCCCGCGAAAAGGAGUCGCUCGGCUGCCCGCCGCUGACUGUGGGUCAGGGAGCGGAGACACGGCGGACCUGGUCACUGGCUACAUCCUAGACCAGCAAGCAGAGGACCCUGUUGGCUACAGGGCACAUUCGACUGCAAGCGGUCUGGGGGACCACGUACAAAAAGUGAAUGCCUUCUUCCUUCAAAUGUCUUCUCAUUCCCCGAAACAAGUGACCCCUGGGGCCAGGGAGAUAGCAAGCUAGUGACUGCCAGGAAUAGCUAUAAACCAGACAUCCAGACAUGGUCCCUCUCUCCUGGUAGCUGAACCCAGAUGAGACUUCUGAGCCCACACUGGGGGGUUAUGGAGGGAGGGACCCCGGGCCUCUGGCCAGUGACAACUCCCCAGUAGCUAGUGAACCUGGACAGGCAAACCCCAACUUGGACCAACAACACCCCAAAAACCCAACAUAAACUUGCAUCUAAAGAAACG